rnacentral:rRNA from 1 species
GGUUGAUCCUGCCAGUAGUCAUAUGCUUGUCUCAAAGAUUAAGCCAUGCAUGUCUAAGUAUAAACGAAUUUGUACAGUGAAACUGCGAAUGGCUCAUUAAAUCAGUUAUAGUUUAUUUGAUGGUGCAUUGCUACAUGGAUAACUGUGGUAAUUCUAGAGCUAAUACAUGCGUAAAAGCCCCGACUUCCGGGAGGGGUGUAUUUAUUAGAUAAAAAGCCAACGCGGGGCAACUCGCUCGUUUGGUGAUUCAUAAUAACUUCUCGAAUCGCAUGGCCUUGUGCCGGCGAUGCUU